rnacentral:lncRNA from 1 species
GUACCUAUCAUGUGCUAAGAACUCUACUGGCUGAAUAUAGAGUUUAAUGUAGAAACAGUAAAUAGGUUUCAACUACUCACUGGUAGAGUCUGUAUUGAAAGGAUUAAGAGGGCCAGGAUUGAUUAGCCAUGUUUGCUGUGGGUGAGGAGAGUGCUGGCAGCAUGUUUGUCACACAUUUGCCAUCUCCGAUCCAGUGACUCCCACCUCCUAUAUUCCACCCUCGCUUGAUCCUGGCUCUCCUCAGACCAUCUUCUUAUCUUCAAAGAGUUCCCAUGAGUCUGGACACAGUAGCAAGCGUCUGUAGUUGCUGCUUGCCUAGGAAGUAUUGGAAAAGAGGCAUUCUUUCAGCAUGGAGACUGCUAAACCAGAAGUGUGUUAGCUGACGAGGGCAUCCACAUGGAGAGAACAUGCCAGGCAAUAAGCAGAGAUGAAGACAGAGUUAAGAGAUGCAGAGGCUGAGCAGGAGUGACCAUCCAGGCCUGGAGCCAGUAACACCAGAAGCGCUCAUCAUGGGAGAGAGUUCUCUACCUUGGCAAAUGGCACCACCAUCCAUCUGACUGGACCAAGCACAAGCUUGAGAGCCACGCUUGACACCUCCUUUCCCUUCAGCACCUCCCUACCACCACAUUCAAUCUGUCCAGGAAUAGCAGGAGAUAGAAGGAACACAGGGGAGGCAGGAGAGCAAGGCUGUUGCCCUCAUCCGCUACCUCCUGGCUGACUGAGGGCGGAUGUGUUAGAUAAAUCUGAGAACUCAAAGAAGCGCAGAGGUUCUAUUCUGCAACCCAGUAAAGAUGAAGAGGAGGAAGCUAAUUCCCAGGUGCCUACACUGAGCUGACAGACAGAUGCCUCUCCCUGGUAGCUCCAGCACAGUAAAGCAGAGGCAGACUCCAAGGCUCCCUUUGCUGAGUUGCCUUUGCUUCCAGUGAAGGAGAACCCAAGAGUCCAGCAAAGGAGUUCUUGACAUGACAAGGGUGGAGGAUCUGAGCACCCAGGGCCACUGAAUGGAGCAGCCAAGCCAAAGCCAAAUGGGAAUCUCAUCAGAGUUGUCUGAUGCCAGAGAGAGCCAAGGUCGGGAUGAGUCAGCCAGAGGGUGCUCCCAGGCUCUGAUCCAGCUGAGAGGGGCCAGAUCAUGUGUUACACUUCUUCAGAGGCCAGAGGAAGCACAGGGCACAGGCACAAAGACCCUAAAUCUUCCCCAUGGCCCUCGUGAGGUUGCAGAAACCACCACCACCCCUCACACGUAUAUCUGGACACACCAGAUGAGAAUAUACCAGAAGGAAGAAGAAUAUUAUCUGAAAGAUUGAGCCAUUUGUCCAAAAGAGAUUAAUCUAAAUAUACUUUAAUAUUGGUUUUAAUAUUGAUUUAAGCCUUAAUUUGAACACAAAAUUUCUCUUUGCUAACCAGCUGGGUGAGGACUUUAAAGGAAGGUUAUAUUAGGUGGAGAAAAAGUAAAGUAUGUUUUCUCUGCAUAUCCAAAUCAUAGUACAAAGUAAAUACUGUGCAUCUGACACACAGGAAUAAAAGGACCAUGAAAUCACUUGUCAAAAAUCUUAGCAGUUUAGAAAAACCAGGCAGAAAGUUGCUGCAGGGUCGGAUGGGUCACUUUCUUAAAGUUCCCACAGAUAGGGCUGACUGCAGCUUUCACAACUGUAGAAAACACAGGAGGAAAUUCAAAGAGCGAACCACGAUGGUGGAUUCCUAACUCUUGGUCAGACCCGCCCUCUAAGUGGUAGCUCAGCUAGUCUGCCCAUGGUGGGCACCAGGCAACUUCCAUGGAGAGGGGAUAUGCCCACUCACGUCCCCUCCUGGUCAAUACUUAUAGGCAUGUCAGCAAAAAGACUUGUUUAAAAAUAAAGAGUCCACAAUAUAUGAUGACCCAUACACAUGUUUCAAACUGUGAAGCAUAAAUAUACUUAUUGUAGGGAAAAAAUAGUACACAAUGAAAACAACCACAUGGGCCUGGGGUUCACUACCUGCCCCUUUCCACUAGGACAAGACAAAAGGCCUUUGACAUUCUCUUCCCUGAAUCUGUUCUGCAAUCUCUUCUUCAGUUAUCCUUGUGAUUCAUCCAUGGAUCUCCUGCAUGCUGUGCUGGGUCACGUGCCACCAGGAUCCUUCACAGGGCACAUCCUGUCAUUGUAUCAGGUCUGAAGCAGUAAUAGUCAGUGAGCUCUCUCGGUCCUUCCUCCUGCAAAGUCUUCAUCUUCCUAACUCUGACCUUUACUGUUCUUGUUUCUAAUUGCACAACAAAUGUAAUGUGUAGGCUGUAUUUCUCCUCCAGUGAAAAUCCACUUGGUCCAGUGCCUGCUGCUAGUAAACCUAGCUAGUAAGGUUAGAAAACCUCUGCUCUUCAUCAUGCUGAAAGAGAUGGCCUUUAUAGCCCUCUUUAACUGCUGAUGGGAAUAGGACAACUUCUAGGCUGGCUGCCUUGGCUCCCCCAUCCCCGUUAUUCAUAAGGUUUUACUCUAAAUCGUUCCUGCACCCCACUGUUAAGUGUCCUGCCAGAUGCAUCAAGGGGAUUUACAAUCACCCAUUUGUGCACUCCAUGGACUUUCCUGCUUAGUUCUGUAAUUCCCUCUGCUUACGUAGAUGAAACCCAUUGUUACACUUGUGCGCUUACCCAUGUGCUUAGUGCUAGCAAUUCUGAGCACUCGAUAUUGUCAUGAGAAAAUACUACAAGAUUGCAACCCAGCUCUCUGCACAGGCAGGCCUAUCCUCCCCGCAGUAGCAUAUGAGCUCCAUGAAAGCUACAAUCUAGAAUGCUACAUCCCAGUGUCUUGAACUGUGCCUGACAUGUAGUAGGCACCCAAUAGACAUGGGUGGAACAGAUGAUUGAGUUGAUGAGCAGAAAAAAACAAGAGGCAUGUUGCAUCUUCUGUGCACAAAAUCCCACCAGCAAAGGAACCUAUGUACAAGCUUCUUUUUUUGUUAAAGGCCUCCCCUUACACCUCGCCAACCCCACACCCUUUUUCAAUACACAAUCUCCUGGAAAAAAAAAAAUCCCUGUGUGAUCUUUAAAUAUUACCCUUGUGCUGGCACCUUCUUUGCCAAAGGCAGGAAAAACUCGUCUAUCAAGUUUCCCUUCAUUUGAGCAGAGGCAACUAUCUACAGCUUUGGAACUAUGGCUCUCUCACCAGCAGCUGAGCACUUUGAUCUUCAUGCCAUUCCCCGAAAUAAAGAGGCAGAAGCCAAACCGUAGCCUGGUCUCAGCUCUCCUAGCCUCAAGCUGCAUGAGGCAGAACCAUCCAAAGGGCCAGGCAUCCAUGGACAUCUGGCAGAGAGGGCGCAACCCCCUCUGGGCUCCAGCAGCUCUCAGCGGUGCUCCUUUGAGGUUCUUUGUCCCCAGGGAGUCUAGUAUGUGUGGCCAAGAGUUUCACUGGCUCUUUGACUGUAGCAAGCAUCUUAACUUAGUUAAACCUCAGUUUUCUUAUCUAUAAAAUUAGAAUAACAAUAGUAUCUGCCUCACAGGAUCAUUAUGAGAAAUAAAUAAGACAGUAUACACAAAGUGCUUGGCACAAAGUAAGAGCUCAAUAAAUGAUAGCUAUUAUUAUUCCUGCUUGGUAUGAUUUGUUCAUGCACUUUUGUUGUAAACAAAUAAACAAAUGCAACCUGCAAUCUGAAAUAAAUAGAAAAAGCUCACCUAUCAUUAUUAAUUCAUUCAACAAAGACUGUGUCAGGCCCCAGAUGAGACAGGCAAGGUUUUCAAAGUUUUGGUGUUGAGUCUUUAAGUCGUCUGGGUCUUCACUUAAGUUGAUCCCUGGAAUCAUAAGUACUCUCUGUUUGCGUUUCUCUCUCUCAGUGCCCACAACUCAGCUGAAUGUAAUGUUUCAGGACACUUUCCUGAACUGGACACAUCUUAGGCUGGAUCCUUUGGAAGGCAAAUUCUGACAUUAGCGUUUAGGAAAUUUGUAAGAGAGUUCUCUAGGGAUUAAUACCUGUGGAAGAGAGAAGAAGAAAGCAGACUGGUCAGAGGGAGAGUCCAACAAAGCAAUGCAGUCCCAGCAAAGGCCUCAGAAACUCCACAGACAUGUCCCAAAUUGGAGAGAGUGGGCUGGACCUUUAU